UACGGAGGGUGCAAGCGUUAUCCGGAUUUACUGGGUUUAAAGGGUGUGUAGGCGGACAUUUAAGUCAGAGGUGAAAUCUCCGGGCUCAACCCGGAAACUGCCUUUGAUACUAUUUGUCUUGAAUUUCGUUGAGGUUGGCGGAAUAUAUCAUGUAGCGGUGAAAUGCAUAGAUAUGAUAUAGAACACCGAUUGCGAAGGCAGCUGGCUGAACGACGAUUGACGCUGAGGCACGAAAGCGUGGGUAGCGAACAGGAUUAGAUACCCUGGUAGUCCACGCCCUAAACGAUGAUUACUCGACAUACGCGAUACACAGUGUGUGUCUGAGCGAAAGCAUUAAGUAAUCCACCUGGGAAGUACGUCCGCAAGGAUGAA
rnacentral:rRNA from 1 species